AUUGAACGCUGGCGGCAUGCUUUACACAUGCAAGUCGAACGGUAACAGGUCUUCGGAUGCUGACGAGUGGCGAACGGGUGAGUAAUACAUCGGAACGUGCCUAGUAGUGGGGGAUAACUACUCGAAAGAGUAGCUAAUACCGCAUGAGAUCUACGGAUGAAAGCAGGGGACCUUCGGGCCUUGUGCUACUAGAGCGGCUGAUGGCAGAUUAGGUAGUUGGUGGGGUAAAGGCUUACCAAGCCUGCGAUCUGUAGCUGGUCUGAGAGGACGACCAGCCACACUGGGACUGAGACACGGCCCAGACUCCUACGGGAGGCAGCAGUGGGGAAUUUUGGACAGUGGGCGAAAGCCUGAUCCAGCAAUGCCGCGUGCAGGAUGAAGGCCCUCGGGUUGUAAACUGCUUUUGUACGGAACGAAAAGCCUGGGGCUAAUAUCCCCGGGUCAUGACGGGACCGUAAGAAUAAGCACCGGCUAACUACGU
rnacentral:rRNA from 1 species